rnacentral:rRNA from 1 species
UACGUAGGGGGCAAGCGUUGUCCGGAUUUAUUGGGCGUAAAGAGCGUGUAGGCGGCCAGGUAGGUCUGCUGUGAAAACUCGAGGCUCAACCUCGAGACGUCGGCCGAAACCAUCUGGCUAGAGUCCGGAAGAGGAGAGUGGAAUUCCUGGUGUAGCGGUGAAAUGCGCAGAUAUCAGGAAGAACACCUAUGGCGAAGGCAGCUCUCUGGGACGGUACUGACGCUGAGACGCGAAAGCGUGGGGAGCAAACGGG